UGGAGUAUGAAAUACCCAACUCCUACUCUCGCCUGCGCCUCCCUCCGCCGCCGCCUCUUCCUCCUCCUCUCCCAGCGCCGCCGCCCUCUACUGCCCAGCUCUCCUCAAAUUGAAAUUGAAAUCGGGACCGGAUACCCGAGUCGGGUACCCGGGUAUCCGAAAUCAAAAUCGGAUCGGGUAUCGUCUACUUAGAUUUGGGGAAAUUCGACAGGCCUUAAUCACUCUUCUCUCCCACUAACCCUCGGCCACCUCCGGUCUAGCUGUAUCCGCCUCCGGCAACCUCUCCGGCGAAAUUCACGAAGAAACUUGUGGUUUCUAGCUUUGUUUAUGGUUGAAUUUGAGAUUAUCCCCUGUUUUGUGCGGUGCAUCAUGUGAUAAACUGCACACAGAAGUUUACGGAUUCAUUGUUAUUUGAUAUGCCAAACGGCGUCUCCCACCCCCUGCGUAUGGUAGCUUCAGUUGCUGCUUCGCUUCUUGGUGGAGUUUUCGCUGCUGGUUUUCUGUCCUCUUCAGUCUUCGAACGCUACACUUCAUUUAAGAAGGUUGCUUUUGCAGAAAAAAUAUGGGCGGCCGUGUCGGAGCUGUAAAGCACUUGGCUACUACGCGUGUAAGACGUGUAAAGGGUGUGGCACUAUAAAUUGGUCUCCACUCUAUGAUCCAAUCUUCAUAAACCCUUGUGUCUGUCCAACCUGUGAUGGAUUCAAGGUCCAACGCUGUCUUAACUGCUUGGGAUACGGCUCUGCAUAAGUUUUCAAUAUCAUGGUGCUAGUAAGAUUGGAUCUUCUCAAUCUUGUUGAAAUCGGAAUUGACUGUUUUUGCUAAUCAGAAGCCACACUUACACACACACCACGAGCUAGGAAUUCGUCAUGUUUACCUUCGAAAUGUUUACAACAUGGAGUAGAUGCUUAGGUAAAUGUUCACCUGGAACCAUGAAACAUGGCUGUUAUAAUCAUAUCAAUAACCUUAGAUAGCUAGUGAAUUUUUGCAUAUGUUGUUAAAGAUGAACCAUUGUGGUUUUGCUGUGAUUUUUGGUUAUGAAUAUGUUCACAUUGAUAGAAA